CCAGACUCCUACGGGAGGCAGCAGUGGGGAAUAUUGGGCAAUGGGCGCAAGCCUGACCCAGCAACGCCGCGUGAAGGAAGAAGGCUUUCGGGUUGUAAACUUCUUUUAUGAGGGACGAAACAAAUGACGGUACCUCAUGAAUAAGCCACGGCUAACUACGUGCCAGCAGCCGCGGUAAUACGUAGGUGGCAAGCGUUAUCCGGAUUUACUGGGUGUAAAGGGCGUGUAGGCGGGACUGCAAGUCAGAUGUGAAAAUUAUGGGCUCAACCCAUAACCUGCAUUUGAAACUGUAGUUCUUGAGUAUCGGAGAGGCAGGCGGAAUUCCUAGUGUAGCGGUGAAAUGCGUAGAUAUUAGGAGGAACACCAGUGGCGAAGGCGGCCUGCUGGACGACAACUGACGGUGAGGCGCGAAAGCGUGGGGAGCAAACAGGAUUAGAUACCCCCGUAUUC
rnacentral:rRNA from 1 species